ACACAUGCAAGUCGAACGAGAAUCUGUGGAUCGAGGAUUCGUCCAAGUGAAGCAGAGGACAGUGGCGGACGGGUGAGUAACGCGUGAGGAACCUGCCUUUCAGAGGGGGACAACAGUUGGAAACGACUGCUAAUACCGCAUGAUACAUUUGGGUGGCAUCAUCUGAAUGUCAAAGAUUUAUCGCUGAAAGAUGGCCUCGCGUCUGAUUAGCUGGUUGGUGAGGUAACGGCCCACCAAGGCGACGAUCAGUAGCCGGACUGAGAGGUUGACCGGCCACAUUGGGACUGAGAUACGGCCCAGACUCCUACGGGGGGCAGCAGUGGGGAAUAUUGGGCAAUGGGCGCAAGCCUGACCCAGCAACGCCGCGUGAAGGAAGAAGGCUUUCGGGUUGUAAACUUCUUUUAAGAGGGAAGAGCAGAAGACUGUACCUCUAGAAUAAGCCACGGCUAACUACGUGCCAGCAGCCGCGGUAAUACGUAGGUGGCAAGCGUUGUCCGGAUUUACCGGGUGUAAAGGGCGUGCAGCCGGGAAUGCAAGUCAGAUGUGAAAUCCAUGGGCUUAACCCAUGAACUGCAUUUGAAACUGUAUUUCUUGAGUACUGGAGAGGCAAUCGGAAUUCCUAGUGUAGCGGUGAAAUGCGUAGAUAUUAGGAGGAACACCAGUGGCGAAGGCGGAUUGCUGGACAGCAACUGACGGUGAGGCGCGAAAGUGUGGGGAGCAAACAGGAUUAGAUACCCUGGUAGUCCACACUGUAAACGAUGAAUACUAGGUGUGCGGGGACUGACCCCCUGCGUGCCGCAGUUAACACAAUAA
rnacentral:rRNA from 1 species